UAGUCCACGCCGUAAACGAUGGAUACUAGCUGUCCGCUGCCUUGAGCAGUGGGCGGCCAAGCGAAAGUGAUAAGUAUCCCACCUGGGGAGUACGUUCGCAAGAAUGAAACUCAAAGGAAUUGACGGGGGGCCCGCACAAGCGGUGGAGCAUGUGGUUUAAUUCGAUGAUACGUGAGGAACCUUACCAGGGCUUAAAUGCAUUACGACAGGUCUAGAGAUAGACUUUCCUUCGGGCGUUUUGCAAGGUGCUGCAUGGUUGUCGUCAGCUCGUGCCGUGAGGUGUCAGGUUAAGUCCUAUAACGAGCGCAACCCCUGCCGUUAGUUGCCAGCAUGUAAAGAUGGGGACUCUAACGGGACUGCCGGUGCAAACCGCGAGGAAGGUGGGGAUGACGUCAAAUCAUCACGGGCCCUUACGUCCUGGGGCCACACACGUGCUACAAUGGCCGGUACAGCGGGAAGCCACUGCGCAAGCAGGGAGCGGGAUCC
rnacentral:rRNA from 1 species